GUAGGGAAUAUUGCGCAAUGGACGAAAGUCUGACGCAGCGACGCCGCGUGAGUGAUGAAGGCCUUAGGGUCGUAAAGCUCUGUUGAAUGGGAAGAAAAAAAUGACGGUACCAUUCGAGGAAGGACCGGCUAACUUCGUGCCAGCAGCCGCGGUAAUACGAGGGGUCCUAGCGUUGUUCGGAAUCAUUGGGCGUAAAGGGUGUGUAGGUGGCCAUGUAAGUCAGGUGUGAAAGCCCCGGGCUCAACCCGGGAAGUGCACUUGAUACUGCGUGGCUAGAGUACCGCAGAGGGUAGUGGAAUUCCAGGUGUAGUGGUGAAAUACGUAGAUAUCUGGAGGAACACCGGUGACGAAGGCGGCUACCUGGUCGAGUACUGACACUGAGACACGAAAGCAUGGGGAUCAAACAGGAUUAGAUACCCUGGUAGUCC
rnacentral:rRNA from 1 species